rnacentral:rRNA from 1 species
AUUGAACGCUGGCGGCAGGCCUAACACAUGCAAGUCGAACGAGUGGCGGACGGGUGAGUAAUGUCGGGGAAAAUGCCUGAUGGAGGGGGAAAACUACUGGAAACGGUAGCUAAUACCGCAUACCAUCGGAUGUGCCCAGAUGGGAUUAGCUAGCAGGUGGGGUAAAGGCUACCCUAGGCGACGACCCCUAGAUGGUCUGAGAGGAGGACCACCCACAUGGGAACUGGGCAACGGUCCGAACCCCUAGGGGGGCCAGCAUUGGGGAAUAUUGCACAAUGGGGGCAGGCCGGAUACAGCAAUGCCGCGUGUAUGAAGAAGUCCUUCGGGUUGUAAAGUACUUUCAGCGGGGAGGCGUUACCCGCAGAAGAAGCACCGGCUAACUCCGUGCCAGCAGCCGCGGUAAUUC